GUGCGGGCACCCCGGGGCAGAGUACCGUGAACCGUGUCAGGCGAGGAAUCGAGCAGCACUAAGCGUGUCCGAUGUGUCCGGCGGAAUGCCCGUAUACC
rnacentral:SRP_RNA from 1 species